rfam:Trichomalopsis sarcophagae strain Alberta scaffold862, whole genome shotgun sequence.
UCCCUGAUAGUAUAGUGGUCAGUGCGCCCAUCUUGUAAGACUUAAACUCUUAAAUUGGGAGGCCGAGGUUCGAUUCCUCGUCAGGGAG